GCCUGGCUGGCUCAGUUGGUAGAGCAUGUGACUCUUGAUCUCAGGGUUGUGGGUUUGAGUCCCACGUUGGGUG
rnacentral:tRNA from 2 species